GUAAAGUUAUUAUUUUUACAAUAAUAUAAUGUUGUUCAUAUAUAAACAAAGUGUUAAAAUAUGACAUAGGACCAAAUUUCUUCGAUCCUACCAAGAGUGCACAAGGGGUGAAAGAGUGGAUUCGAGGCGUGCACAUGCUUCAGAUGAAGCCAGCAAACAACCCCUUUGAAAAUUCAAUAAUGAUCCUUCCGCAGGUUCACCUACGGAAA
rnacentral:misc_RNA from 1 species